ACAGCAGUGGGACCGCCCAGAAGCAAUCAACCGUCAAGCAGCGAGAGUUAGAUGGUCAGACAACGGUGGAGUGGUAGUCAGGAGGUAUGAGUGAGAGAUUUACAGGAACAUGGUUACCUGACCACGACCCGACGUCAAGAACAAAGGAUCCGACACCAGGAAGUCUGCAACAACUAACUACUUCCCUCCCUUACCUUUUGCUUUUAAAAGGGCUUUGGUGAAAGCUUUCAGUAACUUUGGGGUCCAUAGGGAAUGAGCCUCCCAUCUCUUUGCAUGGCUCUCUAAUAAACCUUUCUCUGUUCCAGUC